GACGAACGCUGGCGGCGUGCCUAAUACAUGCAAGUCGAGCGAAGUUUUUCUGGUGCUUGCACCGGAAAAACUUAGCGGCGAACGGGUGAGUAACACGUAAAGAACCUGCCUCAUAGACUGGGACAACUAUUGGAAACGAUAGCUAAUACCGGAUAACAGCAUUAACUGCAUGGUUGAUGUUUAAAAGUUGGUUCUGCUAACACUAUGAGAUGGCUUUGUGGUGCAUUAGCUAGUUGGUGGGGUAAAGGCCUACCAAGGCGACGAUGCAUAGCCGACCUGAGAGGGUGAUCGGCCACACUGGGACUGAGACACGGCCCAGACUCCUACGGGAGGCAGCAGUAGGGAAUCUUCCGCAAUGGGCGAAAGCCUGACGGAGCAACGCCGCGUGAGUGAAGAAGGAUUUCGGUUCGUAAAGCUCUGUUGUUAGGGAAGAAUGAUUGUGUAGUAACUAUACACAGUAGAGACGGUACCUAACCAGAAAGCCACGGCUAACUACGUG
rnacentral:rRNA from 1 species